rnacentral:rRNA from 1 species
UACGUAGGGGGCAAGCGUUGUCCGGAUUUAUUGGGCGUAAAGAGCGUGUAGGCGGCCAAGCAGGUCAGCUGUGAAAACUCGAGGCUCAACCUCGAGACGUCGGUUGAACCGCUUGGCUAGAGUCCGGAAGAGGAGAGUGGAAUCCCGGUGUAGCGGUGAAAUGCGCAGAUAUCGGGAAGAACACCCGUGGCGAAGGCGGCUCUCUGGGACGGUACUGGACGCGAUGAGACGCGAAAGCGUGGGGAGCGAACGAGG